rnacentral:sRNA from 1 species
ACUCAACGUUAAUUCUUUAAAAAGGGUGAGUUUAAGUUGUAAAAGCGUGCUGCUAAUGGUGUAUUUCUGAAUUCAGUUUCAGUUACCAUUCGGGCAGAUACUUGAUCAGCUUGUUAACCCUAAACUUGUUUUUAAGGAGUUU